rnacentral:misc_RNA from 1 species
AUCCAUAUUUAGUUGGGUUGGUGAUCACAUCACUAACAACAUCAUAAGCAUCUCCAAAUUUGUAGCUUGCAUUAGCAAGCUUGGUGGUUAAACUAUCUAUUAACUUGCUAGUUGCUUGAUUAAAGCUAAUAGCUAGUUUGUUUGUUCUGUCUUGACAACUCCCAGAUGUACUCAGGACCCUUUGGAGUGGAAUACAGCCCAUUGGUCCUAGCCCAAAUACCAUUAGCUGCCUUGCCCCUAAGCUAUGCAAUGCCUUAAGUUGUCCUCCAAGUGUUUCCAUCAGAUAGUCAAUGAAAGUCUGAUCAUUGUACUUCCAUGAGUCGCUAUAAACUGGCAUUAAGUAAUUGUUAAUGAAGUCAUUGCUCCCUAAAGCAACCACAUAUCGAGCUUGUUGGAAGAACUUCUGUGCUGAUUCUUGGCCAAUUUUGU